rnacentral:rRNA from 1 species
UACGUAGGGGGCGAGCGUUGUCCGGAUUUAUUGGGCGUAAAGAGCUCGUAGGCGGUUCGAUAAGUCGGACGUGAAAUCUCCACGCUCAACGUGGAGGGGCCGUUCGAUACUGCCGUGACUCGAGUCCGGUAGGGGAGUGUGGAAUUCCCGGUGUAGCGGUGAAAUGCGCAGAGAUCGGGAGGAACACCCGUAGCGAAGGCGGCACUCUGGGCCGGUACUGACGCUGAGGAGCGAAAGCGUGGGGAGCAAACAGG